AUAUGGCGGGAGAAGAUAGCCGUGAAGCUCAACGAGGCGACGAAUAUGAGGAAUCGAGUCCUCUCUUGAAGGUGAACGAGAAUGACGGCAAGAUCUG
rnacentral:sRNA from 1 species